rnacentral:rRNA from 1 species
GACGAACGCUGGCGGCGUGCUUAACACAUGCAAGUCGAGCGAUGAAGCACCUUCGGGUGUGGAUUAGCGGCGAACGGGUGAGGAACACGUGAGGAAUCUGCCUUUCACUUCGGGAUAACUCCGGGAAACCGGGGCUAAUACCGGAUAUUUUCAACUGGCGGCAUCGCCGGUUGAAGAAAGUUUUUCGGUGAAAGAUGACCUCGCGGCCUAUCAGCUGGUUGGUGAGGUAAUGGCGCACCAAGGCGACGACGGGAAGCCGGCCUGAGAGGGCGACCGGCCACACUGGGACUGAGACACGGCCCAGACUCCUACGGGAGGCAGCAGUGGGGAAUAUUGGGCAAUGGAGGAAACUCUGACCCAGCGACGCCGCGUGAGGGAUGAAGGCCUUCGGGUUGUAAACCUCUUUCAGCAGGGAAUAAGCGAAAGUGAAGGUACCUGCAGAAGAAGCACCGGCUAACUAUGUGCCAGCCGCCGCGGUAA